rnacentral:rRNA from 1 species
GCAUAUCAAUAAGCGGAGGAAAAGAAACCAACAGGGAUUGCCCCAGUUAACGGCGAAGUGAAGCGGCAACAGCUUCAAAUUUGAAAUCUGGCCUUCGGGUCCGAGUUUGUAAUUUGGAGAGGAUGCUUUUGGCGCGGCGCCGUCCGAGUUCCUUGGAACAGGACGCCAUAGAGGGUGAGAGCCCCGUACGGGCGGCCGCCUAGCCUUUGUAAAGCUCCUUCGACGAGUCGAGUAGUUUGGGAAUGCUGCUCAAAAUGGGAGGUAAAUUUCUUCUAAAGCUAAAUACCGGCCAGAGACCGAUAGCGCACAAGUAGAGUGAUCGAAAGAUGAAAAGCACUUUGAAAAGAGGGUUAAAAAGUACGUGAAAUUGUUGAAAGGGAAGCGCCUGUGACCAGACUUGCGACCCGUGGAUCAUCCGGUGUUCUUCACCGGUGCACUCCGCGGGCUGCAGGCCAGCAUCGGUUUUCCUAGGGGGAUAAAGGUCGCAGGAACGUAGCUCUUUCGGGAGUGUUAUAGCCUGUGGCGUCAUGCCUCUGGGGAGACCGAGGACCGCGCUUCGGCAAGGAUGCUGGCGUAAUGGUCACCGGCGACCCGUCUUGAAACACGGACCAAGGAGUCAAGCAUUGGGGCGAGUGUCUGGGUGCCAAACCCGCACGCGAAAUGAAAGUAAACGCAGGUGAGAGCUUCGGCGCAUCACCGACCGAUCCUGAUGUCUUCGGAUGGAUUUGAGUAAGAGCCUUACCGCUUGGACCCGAAAGAUGGUGAACUAUGCCUGUAUAGGGUGAAGCCAGAGGAAACUCUGGUGGAGGCUCGCAGCGGUUUCUGACGUGCAAAUCGAUCGUCAAAUAUGGGCAUGGGGGGCGAAAGACUAAUCGAACCAUCUAGUAGCUGGUUACCGCCGAAG